rnacentral:rRNA from 1 species
GACGAACGCUGGCGGCGUGCUUAACACAUGCAAGUCGAACGGAAAGGCCCUGCUUUUGUGGGGUGCUCGAGUGGCGAACGGGUGAGUAACACGUGAGUAACCUGCCCUUGACUUUGGGAUAACUUCAGGAAACUGGGGCUAAUACCGGAUAGGAGCUCCUGCUGCAUGGUGGGGGUUGGAAAGUUUCGGCGGUUGGGGAUGGACUCGCGGCUUAUCAGCUUGUUGGUGGGGUAGUGGCUUACCAAGGCUUUGACGGGUAGCCGGCCUGAGAGGGUGACCGGCCACAAUGGGACUGAGAUACGGCCCAGACUCCUACGGGAGGCAGCAGUGGGGAAUAUUGCACAAUGGGCGGAAGCCUGAUGCGACAACGCCGCGUGCGGGAUGACGGCCUUCGGGUUGUAAACCGCUUUCGCCUGUGACGAAGCGUGAGUGACGGUAAUGGGUAAAGAAGCACCGGCUAACUACGUG